rnacentral:rRNA from 1 species
GGGCCCGCACAAGCGGUGGAUUAUGUGGUUUAAUUCGAAGCAACGCGCAGAACCUUACCAGGGUUUGACAUCCUGCGAAUCUCUUGGAAACAGGAGAGUGCCUUCGGGAACGCAGUGACAGGUGGUGCAUGGCUGUCGUCAGCUCGUGUCGUGAGAUGUUGGGUUAAGUCCCGCAACGAGCGCAACCCACGUCUUUAGUUGCCAGCAUUUAGUUGGGCACUCUAGAGAGACUGCCGGUGAUAAACCGGAGGAAGGUGUGGAUGACGUCAAGUCAUCAUGCCCCUUACAUCCUGGGCUACACACGUACUACAAUGCUACGGACAAAGAGCAGCAAGUUCGCGAGGACAAGCAAAUCUCAUAAACCGUGGCUCAGUUCAGAUCGUAGGCUGCAACUCGCCUACGUGAAGGAGAAUCGCUAGUAAUCGC